ACUCCUACGGGAGGCAGCAGUGGGGAAUUUUGGACAAUGGGCGAAAGCCUGAUCCAGCAAUGCCGCGUGUGUGAAGAAGGCCUUCGGGUUGUAAAGCACUUUUGUCCGGAAAGAAAUCCUUGGCUCUAAUACAGUCGGGGGAUGACGGUACCGGAAGAAUAAGCACCGGCUAACUACGUGCCAGCAGCCGCGGUAAUACGUAGGGUGCGAGCGUUAAUCGGAAUUACUGGGCGUAAAGCGUGCGCAGGCGGUUUGCUAAGACCGAUGUGAAAUCCCCGGGCUCAACCUGGGAACUGCAUUGGUGACUGGCAGGCUAGAGUAUGGCAGAGGGGGGUAGAAUUCCACGUGUAGCAGUGAAAUGCGUAGAGAUGUGGAGGAAUACCGAUGGCGAAGGCAGCCCCCUGGGCCAAUACUGAUGCUCAUGCACGAAAGCGUGGGGAGCAAACAGGAUUAGAUACCCGUGUAGUCCCA
rnacentral:rRNA from 1 species